UGAAAUUUCGACCUAGGACAAAACAACAAAACUACACAUCCCAGAAACACUAAACUUGGCAGCACAACCCCUCAUCCAUGCCUCUAUGUUCAUACAACAAAAAGAAAAGACAAAUAAAGUCCUAAUUAGAGGGAGAGGAAUAAUUGUUUUUAUCCAAUUGCUGCCAGUUAGAAGGCUAAGCUCCGCCCACUUGGUCUCCUAGCAACCCACUCAGCCCAGGGGACAGGCAGAGUUAGGCCUCGCUUUGGCCUCUUCCACACUGCUUAUAAAAUACAGAUUAUAUGAUUUUAACUGGAUUAUAUGGCAGUGUAGACCUUCCACACAGCUAUAUAACCCAUUUAUAAUGGACUUAAUGUCAGGGGAAAACCUUUACCCUUUACCUUAACUACCACCAAUUCCUCAAUACUUUAUUUCCCAUACCACCAUACUUCGCCACAGCAACGCGUGGCCGGGCACAGUUAGUAGUGUUAUAAAAUACCAGGACCGACCUCAUGCCUCAUGAAAUCUGUAUAUAUACCAGUCCUUUGGUAUCUGCUGGGAUAUGGUUACAAUCAAGUUCCUCCUCAUGACUUCUCUGGAGUAGAACAAGAGCUGGGAUGGAGGUCCAAGCAAAGAGGAGGCCAAAUGAAAUCUUGGUCCUACAAACAAGAGUUCUGGCACAUCCCAAUAUAGUGUUUCCUAUAUUCUCAAAUGUCUAACGUUUCAGCAGGUAGGACCUACUUCAAGAUAUAUAAACCAAAGAAGGAGGCAAUGGGGCCAACAUAACAAAUAGAAAAUUGCCUAGAGCAAUUUCCAAUGUCCCACUCUCUUGAGGUCAACACUGAGGUCAUAAACGGUUGGAUCCAUGGAGAUCGAAUCCAUGCCUGCAUCAAACAUACCUCAAUCCAUACAAAUUUUUGUAUGAAUUACUAAGGAAGCCCCAAGAAUUCCAAUACCAUGACGUGCAACAGGGCUAUAGUCAAUAUUGACCAGAGCUAUGGUUAAGGCUUUCUCAUUGUACGGCCGAAAUUGCUUGAAUAUUUGUGGAACACCAGAGAAAGCUGACAUCUCAGCAGAUUCCUCAAACCAACUUUUUCUCCAGGCAGGUGAGCAAAACUAUAAUCAUACAUGUGCCAGUCAGAAGAUAAUCUGUUUUUUCCACAUCAGAGUCAGAAGAACGAGUUUCCCAAUUUGCCAGCAGCUAACUGCCUCAAAAGGGAGAUUCCAUGAAAUGAUAAGUUGGAGAGGAAAUUCUUUCGGGAUUGGAUAUUGUUUUCCUGGGUACCACUGGCAUCAUGGGAAGACUUGGAAAUGGUAUAUAAGGCCUUGAGUCCCAAUGAAUCCUCACAACCCACUGGCCGCAGUAGUGUGUCCUCCAAACCAACAACGGUUCAUAAGUUCUUCCUUUCCUCCCAGAAGUAAGAAGAUGUCUUUUUUCCCCGAAUCUGUGGAGGUGUUCCAGCCAAUCCUGCUCGAUGGGGGCAACCUCGUCUUGGUCAAGCAAACGCCCGACUGCGGGCCACUGAAAUCUUCAUACCCCUUGAGGUCCCUUGGCAGCCCUUCAAAAUACAUCAGCCACUGUCCCUGCCCUUGUCCAUGUCCCCCUUCUUGCUUGAGCCCGUGCCGUCCUAGAUGCCUGCCUAACUGCGGACCCUGCUAUGGGAGACCACAGUGCUUGAGCCCCUGCCGACCUAUAUGCUCAUCUCCAUGCCGCCCGAUCUGUCCGUACCCCUGCCAACCUUCAUGUGUGUCUCCUUGCUAUCCAUGCUAUCAGAGGCCACAAUUCCGUCCAAUUUGUGUGAAUCCAUGCCAGUCCCCAUGCUCAGUCUCAUGCCCAUACCCAUACUCACCUCUGUGCCCACCCUCAUGCAUUCCAAACUGCUAUCCUCAAUGCCAGUACCCGAGAUCCUCCAUCUGUGUCCAGCCGGCCUGCGUCUACCCUCUGGGUCAAGUCUCUUGCUCUCCAAUCUGUGGGUAUCCAUGCUCCCCUCGGGGGUGUUAUCCUUAUGAAAAUUUUGAGGUCUAUUACUUAGGAUAAGAGCCAACAAAAUUCCUCCUAUUCUAUUCGCUUAUGGUUUCCCGGGUCCACUCUCCUGUAGGUUCUGCUUUGGUCUGUCUUCCAGUUUCACCUGGAAGUCUAAGUUCUAGAUUUAGGUUUCAACCAUGGAUUUCAUUCCAGCGAUGGCACAUUGUUGCCAUAGUUUUGAGUUCAGGGUUUGACUCCUACUUCUAGUCAGGUAACUAUAAUGAUGAGAGCACUGCCUCCCAAUUGACAUUUUGAUCUCCCCCCCCCCCCAAAAAAAACUUCCCUUCAGUCCCCAAAUUUUUAUCAUUGCCACAACCUGCUGCAAUGUUAGAAAUUUGGGGCAUGAAGGACAAUUUUAUUUGAAGGAUAUCCUCCUUUUGCCUCCACUUGGUAGGUAACACCCCUGUUUUCAGCUGCAACUAGAAUCGAGCCAUUAAAUUGAGCCAUAUUGGGAAAAAUAGGGCAUAAAUCAAAUAGUUUAACCCUGUACCCACGGGAUUUAUUUAGGGGUCAACAAUUGAAUCAAUGGGUUGACUCCAGUUGCAGCUAGCCCAUCAGAGUCAGACCUCUUUCCCCUCCUUAAAACCUACCAAUAUACUACAAUAUAUAUGUCAUUAUUCAAUGCAAAACCGAGAAAGGAAAAGUAGGCUGCCUAUUUUUUUAUGGUGUUGGCAUAACUGCAUUAGCAUAGACCAUAGAAGCAGAAGAUAUGGAUGGCAUGGAGGAAAUCAGUGAUGUGAGCAAAAAGCUAACAUGUUUCAUCCUCUUGUCCCAAAAUAAUGCAAUUGCUAUUGUAGUGUGCCAACAAUAUUCUGACCCUAGAUGGUGGAGGUAUCCAGAUACCUCCACUAUCCCAUGAUGUGGAGUGGUCAACUUUCCCACCAACUCCAUUGAUCUUCUGGGCUUCUCCCAUUGCUCUGGAAUAGCCACACGACCCACAAUAUCUGGUUCUGAGGAGACCUCAGAUGGUGGGCCUGGAGGUCAUUUGUUGUAUAGAGACCAGCGGAUUUGGGCUGCCAGUUGGGUAGCAAAUUGGACUAGAAUCCUGAGAGACCAGAUUACGAACCCUUGCUCUGCCAUGGAAACCCACCAAGUGACCUUGGGCAACCAGAAGAAGACCACCUCUGAUGAAUUCCAAGAAAAUCCUGAGAAAGUCGGCAAGACUCAGCAUACAUUGGAGCCAACCAGAAGCCCCAUAGCAACAACUACAACUUCCCCAAGAAGAAAGAAUGGCAACUCUCAGCAGCCAAGGAAGUAUAGAAGCAAGGAAGGAAACAGCAAGGAAGGAAGGAGUGUUGGGGAAGGAUAAGAAGAAGAGGAGCGAUGAGGAAGAGGAGGCAGGAUGUGUAGAAACUCCAUUCUGAGUCUGGAGUUCAAGAGGGUCUUCAGAAGUGAGCAAAGGAAGGGGAAGAAUGUAAUGCAAAGGGCAGUGAUUGUGUAUGUACAUUAUAUACAUGGCUAGAGUACACCCAUUGAGGCAAUGUUCAAUGAUGAAUCAAGAUAUAGGUAAAUCAUAUUGAUUCAAUGGGUCUACUCCACUCAAGCCUUUCUAAUUCAGCUGUUCCAUGUGUUUAAGGCAUUUCUGUUGGAGCUCUAUGAGGCCUUGUGUUGGUCAGAUGUGAUUGCAUGAAUCAAAAAUGUAUGUGCUCUGAAUGUUUGCUAACUUUCUCAGGUGUGAAGCAUGCCUAGUUUUGGAAUCUCAAUACCAAACCAUCCUCUUCAGUUUAAAAACAAAAUAAGUCAUUAUUUCAUUUCAGCUCAAAGUCCAAAGCCUGGAAUUCACAGAUCUGGUGGCUCUCCACCACUCACAUGGUAGCUUUUGGUCAUAAGAUGCUCUUGGACGACCAUUUAGAAAGGUGGUCUCAUGAUGGGACAGACACUAGUCCAACACAGUCUCCACUUUAUUCUGACUCAAAGUCAACGGGUAUCUCAAGAAUCAGGAAAAUGUUGUGAGAUGUGAUUAAUAGUAACUGACCCAGAUCCUUGGACAAUGUUGACUCCAUCGGUGGCCUCCUUGCAAACCAUAACCUGAUUGAUGUGAAUUAACAUCAGAAUAUUUUUCUCCAUAUAUUUUUUGCUGGUGAAGGGUUGAAUAUUUCCUCUGUUAAAGCAAUGAGUUUCAUUAUUUUGUCAAUUCUGGCCAACUGUAGACUGGAUUUCUUGACAUAUUUAGCUUGACUUAAAAUGAUUCUAGAUAUCUUAUUCUGUCUAAGAAAGACAAGCUACGCUUGUAGAUGCUUUGCUAGAGCAACUGAUGUGUGAUUCUCUGGUGAUGAAUAUUUCCUGACUCCUUGUUAUGACUACGAAAAUGAUUGGUAGAGUAAUAUCUGGAAAUACAUUGUUCACCAUUAUCUUUGCAUCAAUAAAACACGUGCUUCUCAGCA